CCACCAAUGCUCACUGGCUGGGAGGGGAUCUUGCUGGUUGGGAUGUUUAGUCUCUUCCAUGUCUAAAGCGCUCAGUGUGAACUGCGCCUGCUCAUUCUCUUUCUCCCUCCCACCCGCCGGAAUCCGGAGCCGUCCUGGACCGCCCACCUCGACCUCUGAAGCCAGGAAGCAGAGAUGGCCGGAAAUCCCAUCACAGCGGUGGGGACCGUGCAGGCUCGAGGGGCAGAUGGGCAACCUACCCUUCACUCGGCCCUCGGAGCCUGCUUUUGAGCUGGGCACGUAGGGCGACAGCAGCAGGAAGUUGUUUCUUAAGUUUAGACCGAACUCCCAACUCCAUGUGCUCACCCAGACAGGACCCAACGCUUUGUGUAUUCGCACGUUCGACACCCACUAGUCUGCAGAGACGCUUCAGCCCUCCCUGUGAAGAGAGGGGAGGCCGCCCUAUGAGCCUGGUAUCUCUUAGGAGCUCGCCGUCUUCCACGGCCUGCAGCCGGCGGCAGGUGGCCUGGCGGCAGCCUUAUCCCUUCCUUCUGGCUCUCUGACCUCUGCUUUCUGGCAGUUCCCACGCCGGGAUUAAAGUCUCUACACCCACACUGCGACCUUGGGCUCUGGCUUAACUCUUCCCCUUUCAUCCUUUGCCGGACCAAGAUCCCGAAGAUCAGCAGUCCCUGGCUCAGACAGAAGGGCCUUUGGAGGGCCAGGCUCUGGCUAGACAGCCGGGGUAGAGGUAAGCAAGAGGAUCCUGCUACUCACCAACAAAGUGCCAGCCGAGAGCCAUAGGACUGGAAGGACUCGGCUAGGUGCAGGGGUCAAGAACACCUACAGCCCUUACAAGGCCUGCAGGAACAGUCCUCUGCCCCUGGGCCGGGUGAAAGCAGUACAGACUGAGGAGCUUGAUUCCAUCAGGAGGGAGCUGAGCAGCAUCAAAGCCCAGGUGGACAGCCUGCUGGAGAGUCUGGAGUCCAUGGAGCAGCAGAGGGAUCAGCACACAGCUCAGGUGAAGAAUCAAGCAUUGGACCAGUAUAGCCAGUAGAGGAUGGGAAGCCUUCCAGAUUCAGCUGUUACUUCUUGGGUGGCUUGUUUCCUUGUCUUGUAUUUUUGUAAGGCUCCUGGUCACACCCAUGCAACCUAAAGUAAACUUUCUGGAGCCUGGGCAUUGCAAGUGCUGAAGCACGGUCCAGCUAGCCCACCCAGGAAACCUCCUGGUAGCUGUUAAGUGUAACUUCUGAGCUCUCUUCCAUGAGUACUGAUGUGGGCAGGGUAGGGAAGGCACACAGACCAGCAGAAUCACAUCAUCCCCACUGAACUGAGAUGGUCUUGCAAGAGGCACCCAAGAGUGCCGAGCCCAAUACAGACUGCUUUAUUUUCCUCCUUCCCCACACACCACUAAACCUUGUGGUGUGGAGACUUUUCUGCAGAGAAAAUGGUGGAAACACACUUAUGUUCCUACAGUGUUAUGUUAUGUUCCUUACCAUGUGGUAAGGUGUCACUGUAUGCCCCCUUUCAGCUAAACCCACCAUGUACCCUGCAAAGCCAUAAACCAUUCUUC